GUCGGUGUAACUGCGGACCCCCCGAUAACUGACAGUUCACCGUGAAGAAGAAUAAAACAAAAACAAAGUGUAUCGAGAUAGUGCAGGAAAUUUGGAAUUUAUACUAAAAUAAUUAAAAGUUCAGUGUAAGGGAAUGAUCGGUUGAAUUUAGGGAAUCUAUUUACGCAAUUUAACCCUUCGUAUCACACGAGGACUGAGGACCCAAGGCGCAGACAUUACAUCGUAUUGCUUUGUACGGGUAUAAUUUGAAGAAGAAGAGGAAAGGAUCAGAAAGUAUCAAGGAGAAUUCAGGAAGGAUCGAAGUCGUAAGGAAGGAGGAAACUAUUAGAUUUUUGAGCUGCUCCGAAUAGCUGCUGCAAAAUAAAUAGUGUACUCGAACAA